CCGCAGGGACCGCACCGUGCUCACGGGGCGGGGCAGGGCAGGCAGCCAAGAAAGCUUCCUCAAAGCCCUCAAAGCUCUCCUUUAAAGAACAAAAGCCUGGAGUCACUGAGGGAGCAGCAGAAAACACAGAUGGAGACCGAGGCUGGAGGGUGAGGCUGGAGGAGCAGAGGCCCUCUGCCUGUGAGGAGGCACGCGAGGAGAUAGCCUACUCCUGGGAGAGGCAGGACCACGAGAAAGCCCCGCCCCGAGGUGCAGGGACACGGACUGAGGUCGAAAGCCAGCAGCAGAGAGGCCCUCUGCCCCCAUCCUGGUGCCCCAGCCCAGCCCAGGCCAGGUCCAGUCACAGCUGUCCUCUCCUGGGGCAGGCUUAUUGAGAAAUCCCCAUAACAAGAAGGUUGAGAGAAGUCCUUUGCCGCCCAACACUCAUGGCUGCAUCGCCCUCUCUGAGGUCUCCCAGUUGGGUUAGCUCCUGGCCGGCUGCCCUUGUGCUGCCCCCACGUUGCUGCGUGAAUCAUUAGAUGCUGGGAGGCGUUUCAUUCUCAAUCCAUCCACCAGUUUUUCUCUGUUCUGAGUGAUCUGUGAUGAGCCUGCAUGGACAAGUCUCGGUGUGGACAAGUGGUCCCAUUUAAACCUCUUGGUAAGUACCCAGGAACAGGGUUGCUAGGUUGUAGAGCGAGGGUGUCUUUGAGGGAACCACCAGACGUUUUCAAGUAAGCUGUCCCUCACAUUCUCAGCAGCAACACCCCGAGUCCCUGCUGCUGUGCAUCCCUGCUAAUACUUGUCAACUCAGGACCAGGACCCUCCUUGGAGUUGGAUGUUUGCAUAGUCAGGACCUAUGGUGAGGUAAUCACCAGGGUCCCCCAGGCAGCACAUGGUAAAGGUGGGAUCCGCAUGCCGUUCUGGUGAUCAGGACUCCCUCAAGUCAAUCCUGGACUCAGCUGAUAGGAAAUCAGAGAGGAGACACUUGGAGAUGAUGCAAAUAUGCUAUUUCUCAUGAACCCUCCUUGUAGACUGACCACAAGAGAGUCCCAGCAGAAGACUCACCUCCAGGCUUCACCUGUCAAGCAUUUCUACUUUCUGCUCUUCCCCAGGAAUCUCACAAGGGCUGUGAACUCAGGAGGAUGCCAUCAUUAAAAAAAAAAAAGAAAACAAUGUUUGUCCUUUUGAGGGUUAACUUCUUAGAAGUUUUCCUGACAUUGAUACACAUCCUGAUGUAAUACCCGGCAGAAAAGACCAGGUUCUGGCGCAGGCUGAUUUGCUUGGAUCAUCUGAAGGUGACUGUGGUCCUUCAUGAUUGAAGCUCUUUGUAUAUUUGCUAAAAGCUAUGGUUAAAUUUCCCAGAAUUUGCACACGUCAUGUACUGAUAACUUUCAUACAACCCCAUUGAUGUCCCUUCCCUAAAGCUGGUCCAUGACCCCACUCUGAGGACCCUGCCUGGAGGAUUCCCCCAGCCUGGUGCUCUUGUCAUGUUUUGAAGAUCUGCAGGUGUGGGUGGAGAACUAUAGAAUUCUCAGAGUCUCUUCCCUUCAGGGUUGCUGCUUCCUUAAAGGACAUUCCCCACCAGCUGCUCAUCUUCUACGUAUGCUAUGCGUGAUGCUUGUUUUGAUGAGGCCAUUGAAUUGGUUAUUUGUGGUUUUUUCAUUAAAUGCAUCAGAAAAGCCAGGAUUUGUAUUACCCACCAUGAGGACUGUCUCAGGAAGGCUUUGAGCUGCAGGUAGCGGAAGCCCAACCAACAGUGGCCUGAACAAGCAAAGGUGUCUUUUCCUCCUACAACAAGGAGCUUGAAGGCAGGUCCCUGCCCGGGGUGUUUCAGUCGCCCUGCCAAUUCAGCAUGGCACCCUCGUGGCUGCCCCAUCACGGUGCCGUAGCAGCCAGGGCAGCCCCCAGAAGCAGGUCUGUGUUCCGGGCAGGAAAAGGGACAUAGAGGAAGCAGUUUCAGCUGCAAGACAGCAUCCGUUUCCCCACAUGCCCCAUCUCAGUGCCACCCCAAGUUAGCCUCCCUGGCAUCAGCGGUGACGGAUGUCAAGGGGAGGGGCUCUGGGUGCAGCGUUGAGUUUCUCUAUCUCUGGCACCUGCCAGCUCACGAUCUUCAUGAU
ensembl:lncRNA